rnacentral:rRNA from 1 species
UGCAUAUCAAAUAAGCGGAGGAAAAGAAACUAACAAGGAUUCCCCUAGUAACGGCGAGUGAACCGGGAAGAGCUCAAAUUUGAAAUCUGGCGUCCUCAGGGCGUCCGAGUUGUAAUCUAUAGAGGCGUUUUCCGUGCCGGACCGUGUCCAAGUUCCUUGGAACAGGAUAUCAAAGAGGGUGACAAUCCCGUACUUGACACGACGACCGGUGCUCUGUGAUACGUCUUCUACGAGUCGAGUUGUUUGGGAAUGCAGCUCAAAAUGGGUGGUGAGUUCCAUCUAAAGCUAAAUAUUGGCGAGAGACCGAUAGCGAACAAGUACCGUGAGGGAAAGAUGAAAAGCACUUUGGAAAGAGAGUUAAACAGUACGUGAAAUUGUUGAAAGGGAAACGAUUGAAGUCAGUCGUGACCGAGAGGCUCAGCCGGUUCUGCCGGUGUAUUCCCCUCGGUCGGGUCAACAUCAGUUUUGUCCGGUGGAUAAGGGCGGUAGGAAGGUGGCACCCUCGGGUGUGUUAUAGCCUGCCGUCGCAUACAUCGGGUGAGACUGAGGAACGCAGCUCGCCUUUAUGGCCGGGGUUCGCCCACGUCCGAGCUUAGGA